AUUGAACGCUGGCGGCAUGCCUUACACAUACAAGUCGAACGGUAACAGGUCUUCGGAUGCUGACGAGUGGCGAACGGGUGAGUAAUACAUCGGAACGUGCCUAGUAGUGGGGGAUAACUACUCGAAAGAGUGGCUAAUACCGCAUGAGAUCUACGGAUGAAAGCAGGGGAUCGCAAGACCUUGUGCUACUAGAGCGGCCGAUGGCAGAUUAGGUAGGUGGUGGGAUAAAAGCUUACCAAGCCGACGAUCUGUAGCUGGUCUGAGAGGACGAUCAGCCACACUGGGACUGAGACACGGCCCAGACUCCUACGGGAGGCAGCAGUGGGGAAUUUUGGACAAUGGGCGAAAGCCUGAUCCAGCAAUGCCGCGUGCAGGAUGAAGGCCUUCGGGUUGUAAACUGCUUUUGUACGGAACGAAAAGCCCCGGGUUAAUACCCUGGGGUCAUGACGGUACCGUAAGAAUAAGCACCGGCUAACUACGUGCCAGCCGCCGCAGUAA
rnacentral:rRNA from 1 species